UACGGAGGGAGCUAGCGUUAUUCGGAAUUACUGGGCGUAAAGCGCACGUAGGCGGCUUUGUAAGUUAGAGGUGAAAGCCUGGAGCUCAACUCCAGAACUGCCUUUAAGACUGCAUCGCUUGAAUCCAGGAGAGGUGAGUGGAAUUCCGAGUGUAGAGGUGAAAUUCGUAGAUAUUCGGAAGAACACCAGUGGCGAAGGCGACUUACUGGACGACUGUUGACACUGAGGUGCGAAAGCGUGGGGAGCAAACAGG
rnacentral:rRNA from 1 species